AUGCCGGUAUGAGUAGCGAAAGAGGGGUGAGAAUCCCCUCCACCGAAUGCCUAAGGUUUCCUGAGGAAGGCUCGUCCGCUCAGGGUAAGUCGGGACCUAAGCCGAGGCCGAAAGGCGUAGGCGAUGGCCAACAGGUUGAAAUUCCUGUACCACCUCCUCACCGUUUGAGCAAUGGGGGGACGCAGAAGGAUAGGGUAAGCGCGCUGUUGGAUAUGCGCGUCCAAGCAGUUAGGCUGACAACGAGGCAAAUCCCGUUGUCGUGAAGGCUGAGCUGUGAUGGCGAGGGAAUUAUAGUACCGAAGUUCCUGAUUCCACACUGCCAAGAAAAGCCUCUAGCGAGGUGAGAGGUGCCCGUACCGCAAACCGACACAGGUAGGCGAGGAGAGAAUCCUAAGGUGAGCGAGAGAACUCUCGUUAAGGAACUCGGCAAAAUGACCCCGUAACUUCGGGAGAAGGGGUGCUUUUUAGGGUGAAUAGCCCGGAAAAGCCGCAGUGAAUAGGCCCAGGCGACUGUUUAGCAAAAACACAGGUCUCUGCGAAGCCGCAAGGCGAAGUAUAGGGGCUGACGCCUGCCCGGUGCUGGAAGGUUAAGGGGAGAGGUUAGCGCAAGCGAAGCUUUGAACCGAAGCCCCAGUAAACGGCGGCCGUAACUAUAACGGUCCUAAGGUAGCGAAAUUCCUUGUCGGGUAAGUUCCGACCCGCACGAAAGGCGUAACGAUCUGGGCACUGUCUCAACGAGAGACUCGGUGAAAUUAUAGUACCUGUGAAGAUGCAGGUUACCCGCGACAGGACGGAAAGACCCCGUGGAGCUUUACUGUAGCCUGAUAUUGAAUUUUGGUACAGCUUGUACAGGAUAGGUAGGAGCCUGAGAAGCCGGAGCGCUAGCUUCGGUGGAGGCGUCGGUGGGAUACUACCCUGGCUGUAUUGAAAUUCUAACCCACAGCCCUAAAUCGGGCUGGGAGACAGUGUCAGGUGGGCAGUUUGACUGGGGCGGUCGCCUCCUAAAAUGUAACGGAGGCGCCCAAAGGUUCCCUCAGAAUGGUUGGAAAUCAUUCGUAGAGUGUAAAGGCACAAGGGAGCUUGACUGCGAGACCUACAAGUCGAGCAGGGACGAAAGUCGGGCUUAGUGAUCCGGUGGUUCCGCAUGGAAGGGCCAUCGCUCAACGGAUAAAAGCUACCCCGGGGAUAACAGGCUUAUCUCCCCCAAGAGUCCACAUCGACGGGGAGGUUUGGCACCUCGAUGUCGGCUCAUCGCAUCCUGGGGCUGUAGUCGGUCCCAAGGGUUGGGCUGUUCGCCCAUUAAAGCGGUACGCGAGCUGGGUUCAGAACGUCGUGAGACAGUUCGGUCCCUAUCCGUCGUGGGCGUAGGAAAUUUGAGAGGAGCUGUCCUUAGUACGAGAGGACCGGGAUGGACGCACCGCUGGUGUACCAGUUGUCUUGCCAAAGGCAUAGCUGGGUAGCUAUGUGCGGAAGGGAUAAGUGCUGAAAGCAUCUAAGCAUGAAGCCCCCCUCAAGAUGAGAUUUCCCAUAGCAUUAGCUAGUAAGAUCCCUGAAAGAUGAUCAGGUUGAUAGGUCAGAGGUGGAAGCGCGGUGACGUGUGGAGCUGACUGAUACUAAUCGAUCGAGGACUUAACCUA
rnacentral:rRNA from 1 species